AGCAAACUUUUCAGCUUGCCCGGUGUGAAUGCACACCCAGAGUAACAUCACAAACAUCAUAUUCACCUGAGUACAUAACACCGACACACACAAAUAUCCAAAGACAUGUCGAUCAUUUUAUUGCUAUCAACACCUUGAAUAUGAUGUACACAACUUAGAGUGAUACAGAACAUGCACCCCUACUCUGAUGUUCUCUUGUGUCUGAAUGAUGUAAGGGACGCAAAAAGGGCAACCUGGAAAAAGGACUGAAAAGAUUUCAAAAUGCUAUACAUGUGAUGCUUCAUAUUCCAGUAGUACUGUACUUUCACUUGUUAA